rnacentral:lncRNA from 1 species
AAUGAUAUGUCCGAAAUGCACUUAGUUUGAAAAACAUUAAUAAACCAUAAAAGAGAUAUAUAUCCUACAUGCGAAGAUGAAAAAAAACAUAAUCGUUGAGUUAGUUAAUAAACCACCUCAUCCUUUUCUCUAUAAAAAAAAAAAUUGAAACUAAAACCCUCCCAACCCUUUUAAAGUCCUCUACUCAUUCUUAUAACUUUUCCAAAUUCUGUUCAUCUCCUGACCCAGCCACUACGUGUAUCACUGUUUGGGAGUCGCUGUCAAAUAUGAC